CAUGAAGCCCCCCUCAAGAUGAGAUUUCCCAACUUCGGUUAUAAGAUCCCUCAAAGAUGAUGAGGUUAAUAGGUUCGAGGUGGAAGCAUGGUGACAUGUGGAGCUGACGAAUACUAAUCGAUCGAAGACUUAAUCAAAUU
rnacentral:rRNA from 1 species